AUACGUAGGGGGCGAGCGUUGUCCGGAAUGACUGGGCGUAAAGGGCGUGUAGGCGGUUGAAUAAGUCUGGAGUGAAAGUCCCGGUUUCAAGUUGGGAACUGCUUUGGAUACUGUUCAACUUGAGUGCGGAAGAGGUAAGUGGAAUUCCCAGUGUAGCGGUGAAAUGCGUAGAGAUCGGGAGGAACACCGGUGGCGAAGGCGGGUAACUGGACUGCAACUGACGCUGAGGCGCGAAAGUGUGGGGAGCAAACAGGAUUAGAUACCCUGGUAGUCCACACUGUAAACGAUGAAUGCUAGGUGUAGGGGGUAUCGACCCCUUCUGUGCCGCAGUCAACACAAUAAGCAUUCCGCCUGGGGAGUACGGCCGCAAGGUUGAAACUUAAAGGAAUUGGCGGGG
rnacentral:rRNA from 1 species